rnacentral:rRNA from 1 species
UACGUAGGUGGCAAGCGUUAUCCGGAUUUAUUGGGCGUAAAGGGAACGCAGGCGGUCUUUUAAGUCUGAUGUGAAAGCCUUCGGCUUAACCGGAGUAGUGCAUUGGAAACUGGGAGGCUUGAGUGCAGAAGAGGAGAGUGGAACUCCAUGUGUAGCGGUGAAAUGCGUAGAUAUAUGGAAGAACACCAGAGGCGAAAGCGGCUCUCUGGUCUGUAACUGACGCUGAGGUUCGAAAGCGUGGGUAGCAAACAGG